CCCUUAGAUGUUCUGGGCAGCACGCGCGCUACAAUGGUCUUCGCAAACGGAUGCAUUCUCGAAGGAGAAUGCCAAUCUUGGAAUCUAUGCCUUGGUCGGGACAGUUGCUUGCAAUUUUUCGACUCGAACCAGGAAUUCCUUGUAAUCGUGACUCAUCACAUCACGAUGAAUACGUCCCUGCCCUUUGUACACACCGCCCGUCGCUCCUGCCGAUCGAAGAGUUAGGUGAAUUGUUUUGAUCGAUAAGAUUUGACUAUGGUCAACUCUCGUUGUGAAAUUCUGUGAAUCUGACUGUUUAGAGGAAGGAAAAGUCGUAACA
rnacentral:rRNA from 1 species